CUUUACACAUGCCAGUCGUUGUGAGAAAGGGCUUCGGCCCCGGUACAGCGGCGCACGGGUGAGUAACACGUAGGUAAUCUACCCCCAGGUGGUGGAUAACCUUCCGAAAGGAGGGCUAAUACAGCAUGAGACCACGACCCCGAAAGGGGAUGAGGUCAAAGCCGGCCUCUUCACGAAAGCUGGCGCCAGGGGAUGAGCCUGCGGCCCAUCAGGUAGUUGGUAGGGUAAUGGCCUACCAAGCCAAAGACGGGUAGCUGGUCUGAGAGGAUGAUCAGCCACACUGGGACUGAGACACGGCCCAGACUCCUACGGGAGGCAGCAGUGGGGAAUAUUGGACAAUGGGCGCAAGCCUGAUCCAGCCAUGCCGCGUGAGUGAUGAAGGCCCUAGGGUUGUAAAGCUCU
rnacentral:rRNA from 1 species